rnacentral:rRNA from 1 species
AGAGUUUGCUUUUGGCUCAGGAUGAACGCUGGCGGCGUGCUUAACACAUGCAAGUCGAGCGAAGCGAUCAAGAUGAAGUUUUCGGAUGGAUUCUCGAUUGACUGAGCGGCGGACGGGUGAGUAACGCGUGGGUAACCUGCCUCAUACAGGGGGAUAACAGUUAGAAAUGACUGCUAAUACCGCAUAAGCGCACAGUGCCGCAUGGUACGGUGUGAAAAACUCCGGUGGUAUGAGAUGGACCCGCGUCUGAUUAGCUGGUUGGUGGGGUAACGGCCUACCAAGGCGACGAUCAGUAGCCGACCUGAGAGGGUGACCGGCCACAUUGGGACUGAGACACGGCCCAAACUCCUACGGGAGGCAGCAGUGGGGAAUAUUGCACAAUGGGGGAAACCCUGAUGCAGCAACGCCGCGUGAGUGAAGAAGUAUUUCGGUAUGUAAAGCUCUAUCAGCAGGGAAGAAAAUGACGGUACCUGACUAAGAAGCCCCGGCUAACUACGUGCCAGCAGCCGCGGUAAUACGUAGGGGGCAAGCGUUAUCCGGAUUUACUGGGUGUAAAGGGAGCGUAGACGGCGAGACAAGUCUGAAGUGAAAGCCCGGGGCUCAACCCCGCGGACUGCUUUGGAAACUGCCUUGCUGGAGUGUCGGAGAGGUAAGUGGAAUUCCUAGUGUAGCGGUGAAAUGCGUAGAUAUUAGGAGGAACACCAGUGGCGAAGGCGGCUUACUGGACGAUAACUGACGUUGAGGCUCGAAAGCGUGGGGAGCAAACAGGGUUAGAUACCCUGGUAGUCCACGCCGUAAAC